GGGACAUCUGUGGAGGUUACACCGUUGUACAAUCAUCCCUUACACUUUGACAUCAAGGUGCAGGGCUGAUAUGGAUCCUGAGCUAACAGAACCAGCAGGUUUUCAAACAAGAAUUGCCAGAGCACCCUAUUUUCUUGGUGCUUGUGAUACUGACUGGAACAAAAAGCCAAAAAAGGACACUGAGGACAACUCACAUGAUGUAUAAAUUGGUUAAUUAAACUUCCUGUGAAUAUCACAGAAAUUCACUGUGAGGCUGACAUUAAUGGUAGCAAGAUGGCAAGGCAACAAUACAGCAUUCUACAACAUUCCUCGCUGUGAAAUCAACAAACAUGUAGCUUAUAGUUUUCUGUCAGCUGAAACAGAAAAAAGAGUGACCGUGAGUGCAGCGGGAUCCCUGAAGUAAAGAAGGUUUACCAAGCUGAAGUUUCCUCAUGAUAUGGACUGAAGUGUUAUGGGCUCCAGCAAAGAAAUGUGAAGCACUUGACCUAAGGUGGAAAAACCUUGUGCUGG
rnacentral:lncRNA from 1 species